GUAGGUGGCAAGCGUUGUCCGGAAUUAUUGGGCGUAAAGCGCGCGCAGGCGGUUCCUUAAGUCUGAUGUGAAAGCCCACGGCUCAACCGUGGAGGGUCAUUGGAAACUGGAGAACUUGAGUACAGAAGAGGAAAGCGGAAUUCCACGUGUAGCGGUGAAAUGCGUAGAGAUGUGGAGGAACACCAGUGGCGAAGGCGGCUUUCUGGUCUGUAACUGACGCUGAGGCGCGAAAGCGUGGGGAGCAAACAGGGAUUAGAUACCCAGGUAGUCCACGCCGUAAACGAUGAGUGCUAAGUGUUAGGGGGUUUCCGCCCCCUUAGUGCUGCAGCUAACGCAUUAAGCACUCCGCCUGGGGAUACGGCCGCAAGGCUG
rnacentral:rRNA from 1 species